rnacentral:rRNA from 1 species
AAUCAACGCUGGCGGCGUGCCUAACACAUGCAAGUCGAGCGAGAAAAGGGGAGCAAUCCUCUGAGUACAGCGGCGCACGGGUGAGUAACACGUGGGUAAUCUGCCCUAGAGUGGGGAAUAACACCGGGAAACCGGUGCUAAUACCGCAUACGAUAACGGGGUCUGCGGAUUUCGUUAUGAAAGGAGCAAUUCGCUCUUGGAGGAGCCCGCGGCUGAUUAGCUAGUGGUGAGGUAAUGACUCACCAAGGCUUCGAUCAGUAGCCGGUCUGAGAGGACGGUCGGCCACACUGGAACUGAGACACGGUCCAGACUCCUACGGGAGGCAGCAGUCGGGAAUUUUGGGCAAUGGGCGCAAGCCUGACCCAGCAACGCCGCGUGAAGGAUGAAAUCCCUCGGGAUGUAAACUUCGUAAGAAUAGGAAGAAUAAGUGUAGGAUAAUACCCUGCACUGAUGACGGUACUAUUCGUAAGCUCCGGCUAACUCCGUGCCA